CAAUAAGCGGAGGAAAAGAAACUAACAAGGAUUCCCCUAGUAACGGCGAGUGAAGCGGGAUGAGCUCAAAUUUAAAAUCUGGCGGUCUCAGAUCGUCCGAGUUGUAGUCUAGAGAAGCGUUUUCCGUGCUGGCCUGUGUACAAGUCCGUUGGAACACGGCGUCAUAGAGGGUGAGAAUCCCGUCCUUGACACAGAUCUCCAGUGCUUUGUGAUGCGCUCUCAAAGAGUCGAGUUGUUUGGGAAUGCAGCUCAAAAUGGGUGGUAAAUUCCAUCUAAAGCUAAAUAUUGGCGAGAAACCGAUAGCGAACAAGUACCGUGAGGGAAAGAUGAAAAGCACUUUGGAAAGAGAGUUAAACAGUACGUGAAAUUGUUGAAAGGGAAACGAUUGAAGUCAGUCAUGCUUUCCGAGACUCAGCCGGUUCUGCCGGUGUACUUCUCGGUUUGCAGGCCAGCAUCAGUUUUGGGCGGUGGAAAAGGUUGGCGGGAAUGUGGCAUCCUCGGAUGUGUUAUAGCCCGCUUUCGAAUACAUCGCCCGGGACUGAGGAACGCAGCACGCCUCUUGUAGGUCGGUCUUCGGACACGUCCGUGCUUAGGAUGCUGGCAUAAUGGCUUU
rnacentral:rRNA from 1 species